rnacentral:tmRNA from 1 species
GGGGGUGAACGGUUUCGACUCCGAACGUUGAGUCAGUGGGAAGCGUGCCGGUGCAGGCGAGAGACCACCGUAAGCGUCAUCGCACACAAAUAAGCGCCAACGCGCAACAGAAUGAUUUCGCCCUCGCUGCCUAGCGAGGUGCGGAUCUGUCGGACCGGGGGUGUUCCCGCCCCGGACUCCGGCAUCAGCUAGGGGACUCACCGCCAGGACCGGUCGCGGGGCCUGAGCGGGACACCCACAGCGACUGGGAUCGUCACACCGGCUAGUCCGCGAGACCGGUGGAUCCGAGUAGAGGCACAGCGGACUGCGCACGGAGAAGCCCUGACGAGGCGACGGAGGACCCGGGUUCGAUUCCCGGCACCUCCACCC